CCAGCAGCCGCGGUAAUUCCAGCUCCAAUAGCAUAUAUUAAAGUUGUUGUGGUUAAAAAGCUCGUAGUUGGAUCUCGGCGGGUGGGGGACGGUGCGUUAAUUGACGCGACUGUGCCAUUUUACCCGUGAACUUUGUUGGCGGAUGCUGUGUGCGGGUGCUCUUAACCGAGUGUCCGUGCGCGCCGCCAGGUUUACUUUGAAAAAAUUAGAGUGCUCAAAGCAGGCUUUACACGCUUGAAUAUUCGUGCAUGGAAUAAUGGAAUAGGACGUCGUUUCUAUUUUGUUGGUUUUCGGAAAUCGACGUAAUGAUUAAUAGGGACAGUCGGGGGCAUUAGUAUUCAGAC
rnacentral:rRNA from 1 species